rnacentral:rRNA from 1 species
GAUGAACGCUGGCGGCGUGCCUAACACAUGCAAGUCGAGCGGAUGGACGAGAAGUUUGCCUGUCUGAUGCUAGGGGCGGAUGGGUGAGGAACACGUGGAUAACCGACCUUUAAGAAUGGGAUAACUUCGGGAAACCGGAUCUAACAUCGGAUAAGAUUUUGAACCGCAUGGUUCUUCAGUGAAAGACGGUUUUGCUGACACUUAUAGAUGGAUCCGCGCUGCAUUAGCUAGUUGGUAAGGUAACGGCUUACCAAGGCUACGAUGCGUAGCCGAUCUGAGAGGAUGAUCGGCCACACUGGAACUGAGACACGGUCCAGACUCCUACGGGAGGCAGCAGUAGGGAAUCUUCGGCAAUGGGCGAAAGCCUGACGGAGCAACGCCGCGUGUGUGAAGAAGGUCUUCGGAUCGUAAAGCUCUGUUAGUAGGGAAGAACGUAUGUAAAAUUAAAUGUGCACGUCUUGACGGUACCUAAUCAAAAAGCAACGGCUAACUACGUG